rnacentral:lncRNA from 15 species
GUGGGACAGUGUGGGACAGUGGGACAGUGUGGGGCAGUGUGGGACAGUGUGGGACAGUGUGGGACAGUGUGGGGCAGUGUGGGACAGUGUGGGACAGUGUGGGGCAGUGUGGGACAGUGUGGGGCAGUGUGGGACAGUGUGGGACAGUGUAGAACCUCUAACAGUUUAUAUCCUGCAGUCAGUUGACUUUAUUCAUGUUCAUAUAAUCUGUGUUUAUAAGUUCUAAUGAUAAUAAUUCAUCAUUAUGUCAGUAAGUUUCUGUGAAUGUCUCUCUCGGUCUCUCUCUUUGUCUCUGUCUUUGUCUCUGCUCAUGUUUGGCAACCAGGGGAAAAAACUUGGCAGGAAAACCAGAANNNNNNNNNNNNNNNNNNNNCCUCCUCCUCCUCCUCCUCCCUCUCUCUCCUCCCCUUUUCUCUCCGUUCAUGUUCAUUCACAGCUCAGUCGAUCAGGACCAUCACAUCUCUCUGCACUCUUUGUCUUUCUCUUUGUCUCUCUAUCAUUCAUUCAUUUAUUCUCUCUCUCUCUCUCACUCUCUCUCUCACUCUCUUUAUGUAAUCAUGAGCAGUUUCAGUUUUCUGUCUGUUUAUCUGAGUGGAACCUCACUGAUCCUCCUGCUGACUGCUGUGUCGGAGGCUCAGUAUGACGACUUCACGCCGGCUCCAGACUACGACUCGGACUACACCGCCACCUUCGAGUACAGCUUCUUCAGUAACGCCAGCAGCGAGGACCUGGACAAGUUCAGUGAACCAUACAUCGACCCAGAGGAAGAGCAGGAGGAGGACCGGGUGGACGUUCGUAGCGCCGCAUCACUUCCUGUUUCUCUGGUAAGAAUCAAUCGUCUUUAACCUCAGUUACACAGGUUCAUAAGAAGCUCCGCCCACUGUUUAUUCUACAUAGUUUAAACCUUUAAACCCGACUUAAAGUCCAACGACUCACAUCGGAAACUGACGAAGAUCAGAGGAUGAAAACAGCUGAUUCAGCACAUUACAGCUGUGUGUGUGUGUGUGUGUGUGUGUGUGUCUGUGUGUGUGUGUGUGUGUGUGAGUGUGUGUGUGUGUGUGUGUCCAUCUGCUUUCUAUAAUGUAAAGCUGCUCUCUGCCAGCAGCAACAAACACUGACACUCUUUAUACUCUGCAGGUCUGUAAUCACACACAGAUUAACAGUGGAACGUGUGUGUGUGUGUGUGUGUGUGUGUGUGUGUGUGUGUGUGAGUGUGUGUGUGUGUGUGUGUGAGGGACCGAACAAACAAUAAACAGGAUAAACAGAGUAAGUGGAGGACAGAUCUGGUCCUCACACCACUGAUAUUGUUUGUGUGAGUUCCUGAAGUUCACAGACUGAAAACAACCUCAGAGACUCUGAAGACACAUUAAUAGUGAGAACAUCAAACCCAGCAGAACCUCGGUGUUCACUCGUCUCUAGUCUGGCUUUAACAGGACUGCUAGCAUGUAGCAUGCUAACACGCUAAAGGAGUCAUUACAAAUAUCAGUAACUUAAAAUAAAAACAGGCCUGUUAAUGUGCUAAUGGAUAACUAUAGAACAUUAGCAUGCUAAUUAAACUGUAAUUUAGCAGACUGUUAAUAUUCAAUUUCAAUUCAAUUCAAUUUUAUUUGUAUAGCGCCAAUUCAUAACAGAAGUUAUCUCAGGACACUUUUCAAAUAGAGCAGGUCUAGACCGAACUCUUUAACAUUAAUUACAGAGACCCAACAGUACCACCAUGAGCAAGACCUUGGCGACAAGGGCAAGGAAACACUGCCUGUUAAAAGGCAGAAACCUAGGACAGAUCCUCCGGCUCUAGGUGGAGUGAGAGAGACUGUCUCGACCAGUUGGGGUGAGGAGAGAGAGAGAGAGAGAGAGAGAGAGAGAGAGAGAGGCACAGAGAGAGAGAGCGAGAGACAGACAGACAGGUGCACAGCAACAACAGUAUUGGCAAUGGCAAUCUAGCAGGACCAGGGCAGGAGGCUCCACCAGGAUCGACAAGAACCUGCGAGACAAGAAAGCACAAAGACUCCGGGGAAGAAGUGAAGUUUCCACUGUUGCUGAUAACUGGGCGUUUUUUAAAUUU